rnacentral:tRNA from 1 species
CAGGGAGACAACAAAAUGUUAAAUAUUAUUAUUUUGUCACCUUAGGUCGAUCGGUAUCUCACAUCCUUAAAUAUUAAGGAUUUCAAUUCCUAAGUUUUUCUAGGUCACACCCAUUAUUUUUCCUGGGCCAUUAGCUCAGGUGGUUAGAGCGCACCCCUGAUAAGGGUGAGGUCCCUGGUUCAAGUCCAGGAUGGCCCAUAUCUCUAUGUUGGGGGUAUAGCUCAGUUGGUAGAGCGCCUGCUUUGCAAGCAGGAUGUCAGCGGUUCGAGUCCGCUUACCUCCACUGAUUACCACCUCUUCCAUAACCCAGAUAAAGGAAAUGUUUUGAGUUGUGAUCAAAUUCUGAACGAAUCUAGCUUCCUAAUGACAUCAUUAAGAUGCUGGACUCAUUGAAUUAAAUUCAUUGUUUUCAGAGAACCUUGACAACUGCAUAGAUUAUUUUAAAGACAAUAAGCAUCUUUAAUGAUGCAGAUUUAUUAUUUGUGCGAAUGCAUUAAUAACAAUUCUAUUAAGCUGAUGCUUCUAAUUUUAAGAAGUUAUU